GACACCAAACGGGAGCAGAGUCACCACAAAGGCCACAGCUCUGAGCACGGAGAAAGGUCUUCUUGAGACUUCCUCUGAAGCUCAGUGAAUGAUCUGUUCUCAGCGGUAAGGGAUUAAACAAAGGGCCAAUUGUCAAAAACCCCAGCCAGGGACCAGCCAAGCUUCCUGUGCAGCCAUGAGUGCCUGAGGCGGCCUUUUGUUCUGAGAGGACACCACAUAGCCUCCGCCUCCCCUGGAGUCAGAAAACCAGUCAAGCAGGAAAGCACUGUUGAGAACCUACUCUGUGGAAGGUGCUGGGGGAACACAGAGAGGAAGGCCACCCAGAGCCCAGAAAACAGAGGCAACCGGCCAGUGUUUGCCAAAUGAAGGCUGACGGAGCUGAAUGCUUUGGUGAGAGAGGAAGGAGAUUACGCAUGUGCAAAACAUGGCAUCCGCUUUAAUAAACAGCGAUUCCACAAGGUAGGUGGCACCCCGACUGACAAGGAAACUGAGGACCAGCAAAGAAACAAUCCAAGGUGUGAAGAGAAGGGACUGGAACCGGGACGAGCCCGAUUCCAACACUGCACCUCUUUCCACUCAGCCGCGGAGAGAGUACAAGCACAAAGCAUGUAUUCCAAGGGGAGACUGACAGUCCGUCCUGCCCUCACGCUCCACUUUGAAAAUAACAACAGCAAAGCAUAAGAAAAGCCUCCAACCUGAUGUUAAGAGCUUCCAGUAAGGUUUAGCACAUUGAAUGCUCUGGAUGAUUUGAGACAAGUCACCUUGGGGUAGGAAACCUUGGAGGAUGGCAUGGCGGAAAGAGCGGAGGCUUCCAAAUCACAUGUGUCAAUUAUGAUGGCAGUAUAGAUGUUGGCAAUUUACUUAAUCUCUCUGAAAGUGUUUCAUUACAAAUGGAAAGACAGAACCUACCUUGCAGGCUUAUGGUGAGGAUUAAAAUAAUCUCUUUCACGUGGCUAACUUAUAUUCAAUAAAUGGUCCAUAUAUAGUAAUAAUAAAGCACAAUUCUUUUCUUUUUUUUCUAUUCUUUUAAUGGUUGCAAGAUCCAUAUGGG
ensembl:lncRNA